CCUACGGGUGGCAGCAGUGAGGAAUAUUGGUCAAUGGACGAGAGUCUGAACCAGCCAAGUAGCGUGAAGGAUGACUGCCCUAUGGGUUGUAAACUUCUUUUAUAUGGGAAUAAAAUGUUCCACGUGUGGGAUUUUGUAUGUACCAUAUGAAUAAGGAUCGGCUAAUUCCGUGCCAGCAGCCGCGGUAAUACGGAGGAUCCGAGCGUUAUCCGGAUUUAUUGGGUUUAAAGGGAGCGUAGGUGGAUUGUUAAGUCAGUUGUGAAAGUUUGCGGCUCAACCGUAAAAUUGCAGUUGAAACUGGCAGUCUUGAGUACAGGAGAGGUGGGCGGAAUUCGUGGUGUAGCGGUGAAAUGCUUAGAUAUGACGAAGAACUCCGAUUGCGAAGGCAGUUCACUGGACUGCAACUGACACUGAGGCUCGAAAGUGUGGGUAUCAAACAGGAUUAGAUACCCCAGUAGUC
rnacentral:rRNA from 1 species